rnacentral:rRNA from 1 species
GGGUCAGUAGGUUGGUCGUGCCACCGGUACGUACUGGUCUAACUGAUUCCUCCUUCCUGAAGAACCGUAGUGCCAUUAAUUUGGUGUUGCGGGGAAACAGGACUGUUACUUUGAAAAAAUUAGAGUGUUUAAAGCAAGCUAACGCUUGAAUACAUUAGCAUGGAAUAAUGAAAUAGGACGAUCGAUCCUAUUUUGUUGGUUUCUAGGAUUGACGUA